GAUGAAGAACGUAGCGAAAUGCGAUAAGUAGUGUGAAUUGCAGAAUUCAGUGAAUCAUCGAAUCUUUGAACGCACAUUGCGCCCUUUGGUAUUCCAAAGGGCAUGCCUGUUCGAGCGUCAUUUGUACCCUCAAGCUUUGCUUGGUGUUGGGCGUCUUGUCUCUAGCUUUGCUGGAGACUCGCCUUAAAGUAAUUGGCAGCCGGCCUACUGGUUUCGGAGCGCAGCACAAGUCGCACUCUCUAUCAGCAAAGGUCUAGCAUCCAUUAAGCCUUUUUUUCAACUUUUGACCUCGGAUCAGGUAGGGAUACCCGCUGAACUUAAGCAUAUCAAAUAAGCGGAGGA
rnacentral:misc_RNA from 1 species